UGAAAUCGACAGUUCAGGAGGCAAAACAGUUGGUCAUGACACGUGGAAGACAAAGGGUCCCAGUCCAAUGUGAAGACAUUAUUUCAGUUCAGUGUCAGGAUGACCAAUUUGGGUUGGAUGCUGAAGUGGUUUAUGAUGAUACAUCCUUUCCCUUACGGAGGUGCACUCCAUUUGUGACUGGGUCAUAUCACGGGUAAACCUUCUGAAAUGUAUCUGACACAUUUUGUAUUAUAAAGACAUUUAG